rnacentral:rRNA from 1 species
GGAGAAGCAGGGGAUCGCAAGACCUUGCGCUUUUGGAGCGGCCGAUGUCUGAUUAGCUUGUUGGUAAGGUAAAAGCUUACCAAGGCUUCGAUCAGUAGCUGGUCUGAGAGGACGACCAGCCACACUGGGACUGAGACACGGCCCAGACUCCUACGGGAGGCAGCAGUGGGGAAUUUUGGACAAUGGGGGCAACCCUGAUCCAGCCAUGCCGCGUGAGUGAAGAAGGCCUUCGGGUUGUAAAGCUCUUUCAGCCGGAACGAAACGGUUACGGUUAAUACCCGUGACUACUGACGGUACCGGAAGAAGAAGCACCGGCUAACUACGUGCCAGCAGCCGCGGUAAUACGUAGGGUGCGAGCGUUAAUCGGAAUUACUGGGCGUAAAGCGUGCGCAGGUGGUUUUGUAAGUCAGAUGUGAAAUCCCCGGGCUCAACCUGGGAACUGCGUUUGAAACUACAAAGCUAG